rnacentral:tRNA from 1 species
GCCUGGGUGGCUCAGUCGGUUGAGCGUCUGACUUCGGCUCAGGUCACGAUCUCGCAGUCUGUGAGUUCGAGCCCCGCAUCAGGCU